AUGCUGUUGUUUUUGUUCAGCAGAUUCGGGGAGGCCACGGGACUGAAGUUAAACCAGGCAAAAUCUGAAGUCAUCCCAAUUAACUGUGUUGAAGUUCAGUUAACUAAGGUUCUGCAAAAUUUUGGGGGGCUGCAGUCCACGUUCCCAACCACAUACAUGGGACUGCCAAUCUCUCCAAGGAAGCUAAGGCUGGUGCAUUUCCAAUUUAUCAUUGACCGGAUACGCUCAAGGUUGGCUGGGUGGAAAGGCAAGCUGAUGAACAUGGCAGGUAGAAGGGUAUUGGUGCGUGCUGUGUUGACGGCGCUGCUGGUGUUUGCAAUGACGAUACUCAAAGCACCGAAGAAGAUUUUAAAAGAGGUGGACAAAGCAAGGAGGUAG
rnacentral:rRNA from 1 species